rnacentral:rRNA from 1 species
AAAGAACUUUGAAGAGAGAGUUCAAGAGUACGUGAAACCGCCCAGAGGUAAACGGGUGGAUCCGCAAAGUCGGUCCGCGGAAUUCAGCGCGGCGCGCGGUCCGGGGUUUCGCCGUUUGGUUCGGGAUCGCUCGUGAACCGACCUCGGUAGCCUCGCCGGGCCCCGCCGCGUGCACUUUCCGCGGGCAGAGAGCCACAACCGGUUCGGGGUUUGUUUUUGCGCGGCGACAGGCCGGGAGGGUUGUAGGUGGGGGCGCUCGCCGUCCCUACCAGCCUUCCCCGGUUAGCCGCGGCCGGACCGAGGGACCGCCUCGCGCCUCGAGGCCACCUUCCCCUCCGGGCGAGUUCGACUGGGAGAGACUGGGCAACCGUGUCUCCCGACCGCUCGCCCGCGAUCGGCGCAGGGCUGGCCGGGCGCGCGCCAAUUUUGUACGAGGGUUAGUGGCAAGUCUGUCGGCAUUCCACCCGACCCGUCUUGAAACACGGACCAAGGAGUCUAACAUGCGCGCGAGUCAUUGGGCGGUACGAAACCCAAAGGCGCAGUGAAAGCGAGGGUCGUCUCCGAGCGGCCCAGGUGGGAUCCUCUCCUCUAAACUUCCCUCAAACAGCAUUCACGUGUUGGCUUGCGGGGGGGCCGGCGAGGAGUGGC